rnacentral:rRNA from 1 species
UACGGAGGGUGCUAGCGUUGUUCGGAAUUACUGGGCGUAAAGCGCGUGUAGGCGGCCCGCUAAGUCUGAUGUGAAAGCCCGGGGCUCACCCCCGGAAGUGCAUUGGAGACUGGCGGGCUCGAGUCCCGGAGAGGAGGGUGGAAUUCCUGGUGUAGCGGUGAAAUUCGUAGAUAUCGGGAGGAACACCGGUGGCGAAGGCGGCGAUCUGGACGAUGACUGACGCUGAGACGCGAAAGCGUGGGGAGCAAACAGG